rnacentral:rRNA from 1 species
AGUCAAGUAAUUAAGUGCAUGUGGUGGAUGCCUUGGCAGUCAGAGGCGAUGAAAGACGUGAUAGCCUGCGAAAAGCUCCGGGGAGGCGGCAAAUAUCCUUUGAUCCGGAGAUGUCUGAAUGGGGGAACCCACCUACUUUAAGGUAGGUAUUGC